rnacentral:lncRNA from 1 species
GCUCAGUGAUCCCCCAGCCUGCUCCCAGGAAGGAUGCAUGAGAGGACUUGCCACGAGCACUGCCAGCAGAGUCCAUACACUCCGGGUUGCCUGUGGAGCAGUCCUCAGGGUUUUCUUGUGCAGCUGGAAACCAAAUGCAGAAAACGUAAGAGGGACGAGUAUGACACUGCACGCCUCUACUCCCACACUCUGGGAGGCUGAGGCAGGAGGAUUCCAAGUUCAAGCCCAGCCCGGGCAACUUAGAGACCCUGUCUCAAAAUAAAAAGGGCCGGGUUGGGGAUGUGGCUCAGUGUGUAGGCCCCCAGGUUCCGUCCAGGGGUCUGGCUCGGGCAUCCCUGUCUAUGAGCAGGGAGGGCUGCCAGCUCAGUGCCACCUCCGAGCCUUGCAGCCCCUUAAGGCUGAGCAGGCUUCUCCCCACCCAGCUCAGAACAAAACAGUGGGACCAGGCAGAGUCCGGGGAGCUGGGGACCCAAGUCCUGACCCCGUCUUGGGCAUGAGUCUGCAUCCUCUCCAAGGAAGGCGGGAUCCUGGGGCUGCAGACACAGUGCAGCUGAAGCUCAGUCCUCUCCACCCGAAUCCAGGCAGCGGUCAGCUGAACCCAAUUCCUUUCUUUUUGAACAGGGGAUUGAUUGAAUCCAGGUCCUUCACCCUGAGCUGCGUCUCCAGCCACUUGUAAUUUUUACUUUGAAAAAAAAAGGGGGGUGGGACUCGCUCUGGCACUAUGGAACCCAGGCUGGGCUCAAAAUGUAGGUCCUGCCUCAGCCUCCCAGAGCCAUGCUGACCGGUGCGCGUCACUGUGGCGGGCCUGAAGCCUAGCCCUGAGUGCGUCCCUGUGCUGCGUACCUUCUCGGGGAGCCCGCCCGCCCCCUAUAUUCGGACCCACGGUGUGCGGCGCAGCUCCUUCCCUGAGAAGUGGCUGCAUAGGCUCCAGCUCCGUGUCCUGAGUAGAGGAGGCCGCGCCCUCCGUUCCACCUGCCCAUCCCGGGGUGAGCCCGCCAAUUGUCUUAUGGGAUCCAGGUGACCGCGGUCCGGGCCCUCACGGAAGGGCCCCUUCUCUGUUUCCCUUUUCCACACUCCAGGGAUUGAACCCAGAACCUCGCAGGUGCUGGGCAAGUGCACUACCCCCGAACUGCGUCCUUGGCCCUUUCCAUGUUGUUUUUUUCCUUCUGGUCUCUUAAAAAAAUAUCGGAACAUUUUAGGUGUGCAUGCCGGUCACAUUCGCCGUAGGGAAUUUGUACCUGUACCUGACGUAUCUUGCGUUUUUCCCUGAUUUCCCCCUCCCUCCCUGCAAUCCUUCCUCCCCUCAUUAAUUUUUCCAGUACCCGGGCUAGAAGUCAGGACUUUGCACUUGCCCGGCAGGGGGCGCCACUGAGCUACAUCCCCAGCCUUUCCCUCUCCGCCCCCCGCCCCGCGCCGCUCUUUUUUUAUUUUUAUUUUUUUUGCCAUAUGGGGAUUGAACGCAGGACCUUGCACUUGCCCGGCAGGGGGCGCCACUGAGCUCCAUCCCUGGCCCUUCCCUUCCUUUACAAAAGCUGUGUUUUAAUUUUUCCCUUCUAAUCUCUUUUUUCCCUUGUCCCUUCCCUCUUCACCCCCACU